rnacentral:sRNA from 1 species
AAGAGACUGAGGAAGGAGGUCCAGUGACCUCCUUGGGAUCCAUCUCAAGAGGAGGCAUCAAGGCCGGACACUAAUACUGAUGCUAUGGUGUGCUUACAGAAAGGAGCCUAGCAUGGCUGCCCUCUAAGAGAAGUCCAAGUAAGCAGAUACUUACACCCAACUAAUGGACACAAGUCAGGGAUGCCUGUGGUUGAAUUAGGAAAGUAUUUUAUGUUUUUAAAGAAAGAAUUUAUUCAUGUGAGCUAUAUACAACCAGUUCAGGUGUAGAGCAUGAGUGGCUGCAGAGGUUCAACACAGAUGAAACAUAUCUAUCUCCCCCUAAGCCUCAGGGAUGGAUGCAGAAGAGUAGGAAGAAGGUAUAUAAGAUCAGAGAAUGUGGAUGAAUGCAAGAAAACAUCUUCUAGACAUAACAAGGCAAAUGCACAUAAAACUCAGUAGUUGUGACAGCAUGCAUACAACCUGUGCCAGCUCGACGAGACCAAAUUCUAGCAUGGAGAAGUGAGCUAGGGGACACAAUUUCAUCCAAAGUCUAUGGUGACUGGAACUUGUUCACUGCUGGAAAAGGAAGAGUCUAUCUUCUCUAUGAGUGUAAGUGCUCAUAAAUCAACCAUGCUUGAAUGGAAGACCACAAUCCGAAAAUAUUUAGGGUAAUGUAAUUAUUCUUGCAGUGUUUUUGCUAUACAGGACAAAAACGUUAUGGGUAUAGGAAUUGAGGGUGUGUCUAAGAAGAGUUGGGGAAUGAAUAUGACCAAAACAUAUCAUGUGAAACUUUGAACUCUUGGAGAACUAAUAAAAAUAUGAAAUAAGUUCAUUCUGUCAAUGAAGGUUCUUAAUUACUUUUAAUCUAAGUAAUUAGUAUAUAAUUUCACACCUUUGUUGAAAUAGUAAAUAUUAUUUCUUUGAGAAAUCUUUAACACUGGGUACUCCCUCAGGUCAUUUCUUCAAAUACAAAAACAAAGGAAAAUAGCAUAGCAUAAGACUUCUAAAAUAUAAUACUAUAACUUGUGCCUAUAUCACAACCUGAAAGUUACAACUGUGACCACACUUGGUGAGUUUUCAAGAGUAGAAAUAUGAUGUACAUAUUCUGCAUGAUCCAAGUGACCUUUCACACCAAUAUCACAAUACAAUAUUAUUUAACACGUAUGUGGUAAAGGGAGAAUGAACAAAAAGAAUUGAGUCCACUGAAGGCUGAUCAUUCCUCUUGGGCUUCCACAGGGCACUUGGAGGGACAUGUCAUGUUCAGAGAAUAAUGUCUUUCAGAAUAUUUCUCAGAACAGCCUAUACGAACAGCUUUUUCCCAUUUCCAUAGAUCUUUCUUCUGCCACAAAUCAUCUGAGGUCAGCUUCUUUCUCUUCAUUGAUUAUACCAGCAGAAUUUUGUCCAUCACCCGACUUGGUUUGGAGAAGACACUUUCCAUUUGUACGGACUGGAUUUUCAGGACGAUUUCAUGAUGCUCAUGCUUCAUUCUGACAUGGUGGAAGAGUCAGAUCUUGACUCCUUCAAACUCAGAACAUGGCUGUUGGGGAACUAGUCUUUGAAGGGAUGCUGAAGAUGAAAGGAAAUCAUUGAAGUGUUUCCUAAUCUACGGGUAUUAUCAUCCCAAUGGAGAUUAAAGACAGAUAUGAAGAUGGACGAGGAAAUAGAAUCAGAAUCUGCAAGAACAUUCCUCAUCUCACACAUUUGGAAUGAGAGUCGUGAGAAUUGAAAGUAACUUAACAGAUACUCCAAACGAGGCAAGAAGUAGGUUACGAAAAUGAGUCUCAUCGCCUGUGAAAGGUACUUGAUCACUAGUCCAUGUAUAAGCUCCAACCACAAAUACUCCCCAACACGACUUCCCAAAUGAGAGCUGAAGGAAGGUGACAUUAAACGGCAUGGUAAUGUGGAUGGAAAAUUCUACAAGGCUUCAGCCCUAUAUAAAGUACUAUAGGCAAGUGAGGGAAGCUGGAAAUAGAAGGGGUGAUCAUCCCCAGGGAAGAACACAACACUGACUGUCCAAUGCCAAACUGUCAGUCCUGAAAACAUCAAUACAGGCAACUGUAUAUGGACUGAGCAGGCCAGAAUUUAAGAACAUAUUUGUACAUGCAUAUAGUAUCAUAUACAUAUAAGUAUACAUACACCAACACAGACACAUACACAUCUACAUAUGCAAGAACAAUUAGUCUUUAUAAAAGGGGUCAUAAAUUUGAUAGAGAGUAAAGUAUAUGGAAGGGUUUGGAGGGAACAAAAGAGUAGAUAGAAAUGUUGUGAUCUCAAAACUUAAAAAAAAAGAUUGUAUAAUUCAAACAUAAAGUUGUAAAUGCUUUGGGACUACAAUUUUGGCGUCAGUUAAAUUCAGAGAUGGGUUUCUUAAAAAAGAAAGAGAGAGAGG